rnacentral:misc_RNA from 1 species
GAUGAAGAACGUAGCGAAAUGCGAUAAGUAAUGUGAAUUGCAGAAUUCAGUGAAUCAUCGAAUCUUUGAACGCACAUUGCGCCCGCCAGUAUUCUGGCGGGCAUGCCUGUUCGAGCGUCAUUACAACCCUCAGGCCCCCGGGCCUGGCGUUGGGGAUCGGCGGAAGCCCCCUGCGGGCACAACGCCGUCCCCCAAAUACAUUGGCGGUCCCGCCGCAGCUUCCAUUGCGUAGUAGCUAACACCUCGCAACUGGAGAGCGGCGCGGCCACGCCGUAAAACACCCAACUUCUGAAUGUUGACCUCGAAUCAGGUAGGAAUACCCGCUGAACUUAAGCAUAUCAAUAAGCGGAGGA